CAUCACGUCUAAACACCGGUUCCCGUACGAUCAUCGAAGUUAAGCAAUAUCUAGCCUAGUCAGUACCUAGAUGGGUGACUGUUUGGGAAUACCAGGUGCUGUAAG